UACGUAGGGCGCAAGCGUUGUCCGGAAUUAUUGGGCGUAAAGAGCUCGUAGGCGGCUUGUCACGUCGGGUGUGAAAGCCCGGGGCUUAACCCCGGGUCUGCAUUCGAUACGGGCAGGCUAGAGUGUGGUAGGGGAGAUCGGAAUUCCAGGUGUAGCGGUGAAAUGCGUAGAUAUCUGGAGGAACACCGGUGGCGAAGGCGGCGUUCUGGACUGUUACUGACACUGAGGAACGAAAGCCAGGGGAGCAAACCGGGGA
rnacentral:rRNA from 1 species